CGCAACCCAGUGCAAACCCAUAUGGCCAGUCAAGUGCUAAUCCCUAUGGCCAGCCAACACAACCAAAUGCUAUUCCUUAUGGUCAAUCUGCACAACCAAAUGCUAAUCCGUAUGGUCAACCUGCACAACCAAAUGCUAAUCCAUACAGCCAACCUGUACAGGUACAUGCUAAUCCAUAUGGCCAACCUGCUCAGCCGAAUGCUAAUCCAUACAGCCAGCCUACACAGCCGAAUGCUAAUCCAUACAGCCAGCCUACACAGCCGAAUGCUAAUCCAUACGGCCAAC
rnacentral:lncRNA from 1 species